AUGCGGAGAAACCUGAACACGCGCACGGCGCGCACCAGCUGGCCGCGGCUCCGCCUCCGCUCUGGUCGCCGCUUCGGCGGUUCGCGUCUCCAGCUCAGCCUCCAACCCAGUCCUGCUCUGUUCAGUCCCAGUCCAGUCGUGCUCUGUUCAGUCUCCAGUCCAGUCGUGCCCAGUUCAGUCUCCAGUCCAGCCGAGCCCAGUCCCGUCUCCAGUUCAGUCGAGCCCAGUCCCGUCUCCAGUUCAGUCGAGCCCAGUCCCGUCUCCAGUUCAGCCGAGCCCAGUUCCAGUUCAGCCGAGCCCAGUUCCAGUUCAGUCGAGCCCAGUCCCGGUCUCAGCCCAGUCGAGCCCAGUCCCGGUCUCAGCCCAGUCGAGCCCAGUCCCGGUCUCAGCCCAGUCGAGCCCAGUCCAGGUCUCAGCCCAGUUCAGGUUCCAGUCCAGCCCAGUCGAGCUCAGUUCAGGUUCCAGUCCAGCCCAGUCGAGCCCAGUUCAGUCGAGCCCAGUUCAGUCGAGCCCAGUUCAGUCGAGCCCAGUUCCGGCUCCAGUUCAGUCGAGCCCUGUUCCGGCCCCAGUUCAGUCGAGUCCUGUUCCGGCCCCAGUUCAGUCGAGUCCUGUUCCGGCCCCAGUUCAGUCGAGUCCUGUUCCGGCCCCAGUUUCAGUCGAGUCCUGUUCCGGCCCCAGUUCAGUCGAGUCCUGUUUCCGGCCCCAGUUCAGUCGAGUCCUGUUCCGGCCCCAGUACAGUCGAGUCACGUUCCUGUCCAGGUUCCAGUACAGUCGAGUCACGUUCCUGUCCAGGUUCCAGUACAGUCCAGUCACGUUCCUGUCCAGGUUCCAGUACAGUCCAGUCACGUUCCUGUCCAGGUUCCAGUACAGUCCAGUCACGUUCCUGUCCAGGUUCCAGUUCAGUCCAGUCACGUUCCUGUCCAGGUUCCAGUUCAGUCCAGUCACGUUCCUGUCCAGGUUCCAGUUCAGUUCAGUCACGCGCAGGUCGUGUCCCAACCAGGGGGCACCACCUGUCGUACAGGUGCUAUGCACACCCGAUCAGGCCCGACGUCUGCUCCGUCGAGCUUGGCAGCGGCAAGUAGCCAUGCCAGCUCCAGAGUAGAUGCCGUUCCAGUUCCUGUCGGCCAUGUCGCGGCCGUUCCUGUCGGCCAUGUUGAGGCCGUUCUAGUUCCUGUUCCUGUCCCUGUCGGCCAAGUAGACGCCGUUCCUGUCCCUGUCGGCCAUGUUGCGGCCGUUCCUGUCGGCCAUGUUGCGGCCGUUCUAGUCCCGGUUCCUGUCCCUGUCGGCCAAGUAGAUGCCGUUCCUGUCCCUGUCGGCCAAGUAGAUGCCGUUCCUGUCCCUGUCGGCCAAGUAGAUGCCGUUCCUGUCCCUGUCGGCCAAGUAGAUGCCGUUCCUGUCCCUGUCGGCCAAGUAGAUGCCGUUCCUGUCCCUGUCAGUCUUGGGGUGGCAGUCCCGGCGCACCUCCAGGAGGAGGUCGCGCCAGCUGCAGUCCCCCCGCGCACCUCCAGGAGCAGGUCGCGCCAGCUGCAG
rnacentral:lncRNA from 1 species